UUUCAAUGACGAUAACUUUGUCAGUUCUGCUACUGAGUGCAAGUGACGACAGUUUGACCCUGAGAAA
ensembl:snoRNA